rnacentral:rRNA from 1 species
AGGACGAACGCUGGCGGCGUGCUUAACACAUGCAAGUCGAGCGGUAAGGCCCUUUCGGGGGUACACGAGCGGCGAACGGGUGAGUAACACGUGAGUAAUCUGCCCUCCACUUGGGGAUAAGCUUCGGAAACGGGGUCUAAUACCUGAUACGACAACUACCUGCAUGGGUUGGUUGUGGAAAGUUUUUUCGGUGGGGGAUGUGCUCGCGGCCUAUCAGCUUGUUGGUGGGUAAUGGCCUACCAAGGCUUCGACGGGU